UACUCAACAAGAGGGAGGUUGUCCGAGUGGUUAAGGAGACAGACUUAAGAUCUGUUGGCGUUCAUCGCCGCGUGGGUUCGAACCCCACACCUCCCAAAUA